UGGAAAGGCCUAAGAUUUCUGUAAAAGCAGGGGUCAGUGAAUUAAAAUUCUCCCAGGAGCGAAGGGCCUCUGAAUGCUUAUUUCUGAUAAUCUUAUUUAUGUCCCGGGGCCGUGGAAGAAGAACAAGGCCAACUGCUUAGGCCUCUGUGAGGAUGAAACAGUGACUGAUAUUGCGCACCUACCACAGUGCUCUGCACGCCCCCAUCACACCCCCACUCCAAAGGCUUCUCUUGUGCUGCCUGUGCCCUGGACUACUCACUGACUGACCUUAUCUGCCUUUGGGGAUUGGAGGUGAGGCGGUCUGGUGUCAACAGUACAGACUCCAGGAGUAGGUGAGAAACCCCGUGGCAAGAUCAUCUGAGCACUGCUGACAGCCCGAUGGAUGAGGAGAGUCACGCACACACCCGUCUACAGACCCACUUUACAGAUGGAGUGACGAGCUGAGAUGAACUAGUGGGCAGAGAGCCAAUCCAGAGGAAACCAAGCAUGCAGCCAGCGAGUCAGACAUUUGUGGGAAUUGGGAAAACAUUGCACCUGCCCCACUGGAGACAUGGAUGUUAGAUUUGGUUUUAGGUAUACAUUCCAAGUACUGUGUAUGACCGCUUUCCCCAAGGACCCUCUGGGAGCAUGAGACAGGGAGGACAGGAAAGAAUCUCUGAUAAUAAAAAAACAAAAACAAAACAAAAC
rnacentral:lncRNA from 1 species